CAGCCGCCGCGGUAACACGUAGGUGGCAAGCGUUGUCCGGAAUUAUUGGGCGUAAAGGGCUCGCAGGCGGUUUCUUAAGUCUGAUGUGAAAGCCCCCGGCUCAACCGGGGAGGGUCAUUGGAAACUGGGAAACUUGAGUGCAGAAGAGGAGAGUGGAAUUCCACGUGUAGCGGUGAAAUGCGUAGAGAUGUGGAGGAACACCAGUGGCGAAGGCGACUCUCUGGUCUGUAACUGACGCUGAGGAGCGAAAGCGUGGGGAGCGAACAGGAUUAGAGACCCCAGUAGUCCCUGUCUCUUAUAA
rnacentral:rRNA from 1 species